CCUCAAUCUGCAGUUUGAUGAAUUCCCUGACGAGGAAUCACGAAAGCCACUCGUGAUUCCUCGUCAGGGAAUUCAUCAAACUGCAGAUUGAGG